rnacentral:tRNA from 1 species
UUGGGUAUCGCCAAGCGGUAAGGCUCUGGUUUCUGAUACCAGCAUUCCGAGGUUCGAAUCGCCAUUACCCCAGCUA